rnacentral:rRNA from 1 species
AUUGAACGCUGGCGGAAUGCUUUACACAUGCAAGUCGAGCGGCAGCGCGGCCUUCGGGCUGGCGGCGAGCGGCGAACGGGUGAGUAAUGCAUCGGAACAUGCCCAGUCGUGGGGGAUAACACUUCGAAAGAAGUGCUAAUACCGCAUACGUCCUGAGGGGGAAAGCGGGGGAUCGCAAGACCUCGCGCGAUUGGAGUGGCCGAUGUCAGAUUAGCUAGUUGGUGGGGUAAAGGCCUACCAAGGCGACGAUCUGUAGCUGGUCUGAGAGGAUGAUCAGCCACACUGGGACUGAGACACGGCCCAGACUCCUACGGGAGGCAGCAGUGGGGAAUUUCGGACAAUGGGGGCAACCCUGAUCCAGCCAUUCCGCGUGAGUGAAGAAGGCCUUCGGGUUGUAAAGCUCUUUCGGCAGGAACGAAACGGUGGGCUCUAACAUAGUCCGCUAAUGACGGUACCUGAAGAAGAAGCACCGGCUAACUACGUG